GGUCCUUGAAAAGUCUUUCUAAAAAAUAUGAGGAAUGAGUGGUUGGCAGAGGACAAAGAGGUGACUUGGCAGGUAUGACAUAAAGCUUUUAGAUACAGGAUAUGUAGUGAAAUAUGCCACACUUGUGCAGUUUGCUCUGUUGUACAUGAGAAGAAUUAAAUUCUCUAAUUUUUAAACUUAUAUGUCCUAAAUUUGAUUUCAGAAAACACGCAGCAUGCCUAGUUCAAAAGAGGCUGAACUAAGAACAUCUAAAGAAGAGGAGACCUGGCAGAAAUGUCCAGAUGAGGACUGAAGUCAGGGGGUGAAGAAGGAGGGACAGCCAGUCACAGAGGAAAACAGAAAACAGUCCUGUGAGCAGCAAAGGACCCAGAGCCAACUAUGUCAAGUCUUAGGAGGAACCAGAACACCCACAGCAAACCCAUGCACGUACAGGGAGAACAUACAGACAGGGCACAGAAAAGUCCCUGUCCAGCCCAGGAUUCAGACCAGGAACCUUCAUGCUGUGAGGCACCAGUGCUAACUUCUGCACCAUCAUGACACCAAG